rnacentral:rRNA from 1 species
UACGUAGGGUGCGAGCGUUAAUCGGAAUUACUGGGCGUAAAGCGUGCGCAGGCGGUCCGCAAAGUCUGAUGCGAAAGCCCCGGGCUCAACCUGGGAACUGCAUUGGAAACUAACGGGCUCGAGUGUGGCAGAGGGGGGUGGAAUUCCAACGUGUAGCAGUGAAAUGCGUAGAGAUGUGGAGGAACACCGAUGGCGAAGGCAGCCCCCUGGGCUAACACUGACGCUCAGGCACGAAAGCGUGGGGAGCAAACAGG